CUAUCUUCUCCUGCUACUAAUAACUUCUUUUGUGUUAGAAAGGAAGACACAAAAACAAUACAAAAAAAACAAGGGAAGAUAGUGCUCCCUAAAAACCAGAUAUUACAUUAUUAGAAUCCAAGGCCAGUGCCAUAGAAGAAAUGACAGAGAAUAUUACUUCAAUUAGCAGAUAGAGGUUCUGAAAAUAAACUCAAACAGAAAUUCGUGAAAUGAAAGAAACCAUAAACCAAAUUAAAAGCUCAACAGAAAGCAUCACCAACACUUUAAAUUACGUGGAAGGCAGGACCUCAGACAAUGAAGGCAAAAUAUGUAAUCUUUCAUGCUUUCUAAGAUCUAAUAACUCUAUAUCCUUACCUCCUUCCUCCUCAACAUCUCAACCUACACCUCAUCCAUGGUUCUUUGUUCUCCAUCAGAAUCUGUAGAUCCUUUUGCAAACCUACUGUUUUUAUUAUAGAUAAUAUUUGAACUUACCAUUUCUGUUUAUUGUGACAAAACUGUAAAUGUCUUAAUAGCAGCUAUGUGGUUUAAGGCUGUGUAUUCUUUGUAUUGGGGUCUGUUUUUAUUGUUCCCUCCUUGAAGGAGAGGUAUUGGAAACCUGAAGGGACACUAUUAGCCUUCAGACACUAUAACACUUCAGAUCCACAGUGUCACAAGGGAAAACACAAGAAUAUCAUGAAAAAUCAAGGGAAGAUAGUACCCUAAACAAACCAAGAUAUUACAUUAUUAGAAUCCAAGGCCAGAACAACAGAUAAAAAUGACAGAGAAGGAGUUCAGGAUGUACAUAAUUAAAAUGUUCUCUGAAUUAAUGAUGAUGUAAGAGAAUAAAUACAGAAAAAAGGAUCAUUUAAAUAAACAUAAGCCAAGACUGGAAGCAAAAGAUUACUUCAAUAGGAGAUGGAGGUUCUGAAAAUAAACUCAAACAGAAAUUCUUGAAAUGAAACAAACAACAAACAAAAUUAAAAGCUCAACAGAAAACAUCACCAACACAUUAGAUCACUUGGAAGACAGGAUCUCAGACAAUAAAGACAAAAUAUAUAAUCUUGAAAAGAAUGUUAACCACACAGUGAAAAUAGUAAGACACCAUAAGCAGAAUAUUCAAGAAUUAUGGGAUGAUAAAAAAGUCCAAAUUUAGGAAUUACUGGGAUAGGGGAAGUCAUAGAGUUCCAAACCAAAGGAAUCAACAAUCUGUUCAAUAAAAUAAUAUCAGACAAAUUUCCAAAAAUGGAGAAUGAAUUGGAAAAUCAAAUACAAGAGGCUUACAGGUCACCAAAUGUACAAAACCACAACAGAUCUACACCAAGGCACAUUAUAACGAAAAUGAGUAGCAUACAGAAAAAGAAGAGAAUUUUAAAAGGCACAAGAAAAAUGAGUCAGACUACAUAGAGGGGGAAACCAAUUAGGAUAUCUGCAGAUUUGUCAAUUCAGAUGCUGAAAGCUAGAAGAUCCUGGAAAAACACAUAUCAAGCUCUGAAAGAAAAUGAAUGCCAACGAAGAAUCUUAUAUCUAGCAAAAUGAAAAUUUAGAUUUGAUGAUGAGAUAAAAACCUUUGUGAUAAACAAAAAUUAAAAAAUUUACAACUAGAAAGCAUACAUCACAGAACAUUCAUCACAAAAUAUUCCAUAAGGAGGAAAUGAAAAACAACAAUGAAAAUCAGCAAAGGUAUGUAUUACACCAAAGAAAAUACUAAUCAAAGGAAAAACCAAGUCAAGUUAAAUACCCAAAAUAAACAAAUAUUACCAGGAAUAUAAAUCAUGUCUCAAUGAAAACCCUGAAUUUAAUGGCCUAAAUUCAAUAACCAAAAGACAUAGACUGGCAGUCUAGAUUUUAAAAAAGACCCCACAAUAUGCUGCCUUCAAGAGACUGAUCUCAUAGGAAAAAAAUCCACAAACUGAAGGUAAAAAGCUGGAAAAAAACAUCCCACUCAUGUGGACUGUGGAAACAAGCAGGGUUUUCCAUCCCCAUAUUAAAUAAUGUGGACUUCAAGCCAAAGUUAAUCAAAAAGGAUAAAGAAGGACAUUCACACUGCUUAAGGGAACCAUUCAUCAACAAGACAUAACAAUUAUAUAUAUAUAUAUAUAUAUAUAUAUAUAUAUAUAUAUAUAUAUAUAUAUAUAUAUCUCCCCCCAAAAUGGAGCAUCUAUAUUAAUCAAACAAACUCUUCUCAAGUCCAAGUGUCAGAUCACAACACAAUAAUUCUGGCUGAUUUUAACAUACCUCUUUCACUAUUGGAUUGAUCUUUCAGACAAAUCUAAACCAAUAAUUGAUAAAAAUCAAUCAUGCAAUCAAUAAUUUAGACUUAAGAGACAUAUACAGAAUAUUUCAUCCAUCAACAAAUGAAUACACUUUUUUCUCAGCAGCACAUGAAUUCAUCUCUAAAACAGACAAUAUUUUAUGCCACAAAUUAACUCCUAGCAAAUACAAGAAAAUAGAGAUACCAUAUGAUCAUUUGUAUAUGAUCAUCUAAAUAAAUGCAGAGAAAACAUUUCACAAAAUACAGCACCCCUUGAUGUUCACAAUACUAGAAAAACUACGGAUAACAAGAACAUAUCUCAGUGCCAUAAAAUCUAUCUAUGAUAAGCCCAAGGCCAACAUCAUUCUAAAUGGAGAAAAAUUUAAAGUGUUCCUUCUGAAACCUGGAACAAGACAGGGAUGCCCUCUUUUAUCACUUCUAUUUAAAAGAGAACAAUGUGUUGCAAAAGACAUCAAAG
rnacentral:lncRNA from 1 species